AUUGAACGCUGGCGGCAUGCUUUACACAUGCAAGUCGAACGGACGCGCGGGCUUCGGCCUGGCGGCGCGUGGCCGACGGGUGAGUAAUACACCGGAACGUGCCCAGUCGUGGGGGAUAGCUCGGCGAAAGGAGAACGAAUCCCGCAUACGACCUGAGGUUGAACCGGGUGGAUCUUCAGUCCUCGACCUAUUUGCGCGCACGAUGACAGAUUAGCUCGUUGGUGGGGUAAAGGCCUACCAAGGCGACGAUCCGUAGCUGCUCUGAGAGGACGACCGGCCACACUGGAACUGAGACACGGUCCAGACUCCUACGGGAGGCAGCAGUGGGGAAUUUUGGACAAUGGGCGAAAGCCUGACCGAGCAAUGCCGCGUGUGUGAUGAAGGCCUUCGGAUCGUAAAGCACUGUUGGUGGGAACGAAAAGGAGUGUGCGAAAACAACGGUUUGUUGACGGUACCCGCAGAAAAAGCACCGGCUAACUACGUG
rnacentral:rRNA from 1 species